AACUUUCAAUUGAACAGCAUUGCAAAGUUUAUUCUAAAUGCAGUUUGUGGUAUUUCUAAUGCUCUUUUCCGGAGCUUAUACUCAACACUUUAUGCAUUGUCAUGGAGGCCAAGAGGAAUUCACUUGUAACGAGCACAAAGAUAUUGGACAUGCUGAUGUGGAAGGCUGCUCUCGAAAUGCAAAUCCCGAAAUGUAUUAUUUUGCCAGUGGAAACUGCAACAAAAUGCAAUAUCUUGGCUGUGGCGGCAACAGAAAUCGAUUUUGCAGUAAGUUUGAUUGCACAUUAUUGUGCAAACGCAAUUAUAAGGAAGAUGAAGAUGAAACGGAUUAUAAUAAUGAAUGAAUGAAAUAUUAUAACUAAUAACUAAAUAUAAAUGUAGAGUGUGUUUCUCACAUGAAAUAAAGCUCCAUUGAAAAAUUGUUUCAUUUAGGAACAGCUGUCGAAAAACAUUAUUAAAUUUACCUCAACAAAUUUCAAUAUAAAUGCUGACAAAUCACUAUUUGAACUCAGUUUGAACUAGACUUUCGUAAUGAAAUUUCUUCUAUUCUUGGUUUGUCUAGCAAUUUUCCUGGUCAACAGUCAGGCAACCAAUUGUUUGGGACGUGCUCUUAGACCGAGCUGCAAUGAAACUAAGGAUGAAGGUCAUAAUCAAAUGAGUUGGUGUGCUGGGAAAAGCCAAAAACUAAUGUGGUAUUACGAUAAGACCCGACUAGGCUGUAAAGCUUUCAAAUUCAAAGGAUGUGGUGGCAAUAAUAAUCGCUUUUGCACUUCAUAUGAUUGUGCUAAAAAGUGCGUAAUACGUAUACUUUAAUGAGUAUGAAUAUAAAAAUCCAUUAGUUUUGUUUAAUUAAAAGAAGACUAUAUAAAGUUUAUUUGUGCAGCAUAA